GACGAACGCUGGCGGCGUGCCUAAUACAUGCAAGUCGAACGCAGUGGGGACGGGUGAGUAACACGUGGGUAACCUCCCAUCAGAGGGGAUAACACUUGGAAACAGGUGCUAAACCGAUACUGAUGGAUGGACCCGCGGUGCAUUAGCUAGUUGGUGAGGUAACGGCUCACCAAGGCCACGAUGGAUAGCCGACCGGAGAGGGUGAACGGCCACACUGGGACUGGGACACGGCCCAGACUCCGACGGGAGGCAGCAGUAGGGAAUUUUCGGCAAUGAAGAAAAGUCUGACCGAGCAACGCCGCGUGAGUGAAGGAGGUUUUCGGAUCGUGAAACUCUGUUGUUAGAGAAUCGGUAUCUAACCAGAAAGCCACGGCUAACUACGUGCGAGCCGCCGCGGUAAUAC
rnacentral:rRNA from 1 species